CCCGUCCACCUCGCACCUCGCCCCGCCAGCCCGGUGUCCGGCGGCAGCCCACCCCCGCCCCCUGGAUGUAGCACGUAGGCCCGCUCGCUAGCGGCGCCACGGCCUCUGAUGCUCGCAUUGAGCUGAGAGAACGAACCAUCGCUGCUCCUCUGCGUGGAGACUCUGGGGUCCUGACCCCAGCGAUGGAGACAGCAGAGAGCUGGGGUUGUUUGCAGAGUUAAUCGCCCCGUGAUGAUGAUGUCAUUCUCGGUGACCUGCAGAUGAAUUGACCUCGUCACCUCCUGCAACGGGAGCAUUUCUUAAAAUGCCAGCUGCACAUUUUUAGCCCCACCUCCAUAUCCAGAGGUGGGGCUGGUUUUACCUCACCCGUCCAGGCCUACGUAACACUACGAGGUGUGUGCACGCUCGGGCCUUGCUGGAAGAAAUAAGAGCGAGAAGAGUGGUGGAGAGCAGAGGAAAGAGUGUAAGCAGGGAAAUGACAGAGUAAAAGGAAGGGAUAUUAAAGCAGACAUUUCCACUUGUCAGGAGCUGCGGUGUCGCCCGAGGCGGAGACACCGGGGGAAGCGAGCUGCUGUCGCCGCGUUUGAUCACCGACAGCCCGGGAACAUCGGGAUCAGAGGCCCGCCACCCUCCACCUGUUCCCCCUCCACCACGGGUCUCUGUGUUAGGCUACAUAGGCCUAUUGGUUUUAAUCUCUUUGAAUCUCUUUUAAUACCUCUAAUGCCUUUUAACUUGGGUGUUUCAUUUGACAGAACACUAACAAUCCUCGCCCUCUCUAAUUCUCUACGUGUGUCUCCCUUGACUCUCCCAUCUCCCAGUCGGCUAUACAUCGCGGUUGCUCCACCAUUUCACUAAACUUUAAAUAUAGGCCUUCUAAUAGGCCUAAUUGUUAUAAUGAAUGUGAGGCAUUAUACCUAGAAGUUGGCCUGUUGAAGAAGAUAUGAAUCUACCUCCAAUAAUUUGCACAUUAAUAUAGACCUAUAUCUAUUUAUAUAUAUAAACAUAUGUAACCUAUAUUAUUAGCGAGUUAAUUGUGCGUUAAUGGGCAUCGCGAUACAAUUGGCCUCCAACGAGAGAAGUAAUCGAUGUAUGGAUCCUGCACCCUGCUGCCAAUCAGGGAAAUGACACCUAUAAUCAAUUACUGCGCGUUUAGACGCAGCCACAAAAGAGAAAUAAACAACAGCCAUUCUUCUUAUUAAUUAUCCAACUAACGGGUGAGGAGUGGAGUCAUGCACAGUACAACGGACGAAUGCAUAAUACAUGAUGGAUAAUAUAUAGUCUGCUCAACCACUCAAUGUUUUGCUUUGUAUGCAAAUUAAUCAUGGGAAAUUAGCUGGAUUAAUAUUUUCUAUAAUAGUCAUUUUUUUAGGUAGCCUAUAUAAAGCCCUCCAUUAAUUAUGCAACAAUGAUGUAGGCUAUAUAUUUAUAGUUGAUAUGUGACAUGGUGGAUCCGCGAUAGAUAGUUAGUCAUGUAUGAUGGAUGUGAUGCUUUAUAAAAAUUGGCAGCUAAUUGAGACUAUUCAGAUUCCAGGUUUGUUUAUUCAUUUAAAGCCUUUAGAGAUCCAACACCCAUUGAGCUUUAUAGGCCUAAUUCGUGUAAUUCUCCCCAUUGUAAUCCUAUAUAUAUUUUUAAAUACCAAUUAGUCGAUUAUUAUAUUUUUUGUAAAUAUCUAAAACAGCAUCAAUCUGCGAAGUUGUCUGACGGCAACUCGCAUUUUCUGUUGUGAAAACUAAAGCGCAGGACGUUUCCGAAUUCCCACCUCCCGCUGGGAGGCACACAGCGACCUCGAGUGGACAAACACUGAACUGGUACUAUACUGUUAUCGUUAAGUAUAAACAAACAAAACAUAUCGGUCGUUGCUUAGAGUUCGACAAUAUAAAGAUGUCGGUUAGGGUUAACCCUUUAUUCAUAAAGGUUGGUGAAAAUAACCCCUGACUAACCCGUUUCUAACCUGUCAUCUGACCAGAGGAAUCGUAUUAUUGCCCGGGGAAGCGUUAAAAAGUGUGACGUGAUCAAUGAAUCUGAUUAGUUUGGUUUGGACCUGAUCAAUGGACCCUCCUUCUCUCUCUGGGACACUAUAUGUGACACACAGUGGAAAACACAUGCACACACACACACACACACACACACACACACACACACACAGAAACGCACAUACAUAGACUGUAUCUCUUUAUCCCCUAUCUCUGACUAUGCACUACUACACACAUUAUAUUGGCCUACACUAAAAUACGCAAUAACCCAAUCAAUACCUCUACAUGCCGGGUUAAGGGUAGCUAACCUGUGUAGGCCUAUUAACAUUAAAUAGUACUCUUUCAUCCUAGAUAGGCAAUUUGGACAGUGUGCUUUUCCUAAAAUUUGAAGACAAAACAGACUUCUAAUAUAUGUCUCUUUGUAUGAAGCCACAGGAGCCAAUCAGAAAUCAGAUGGAUUGAUCACGCGAUCACAGGUGAAGCCAUUACCAACUGCUACCAACAGAUUACAACGGACUACACACUGCAUGUGUGUCCGGUGUGAGUGUGUGUGUGUGUGUGUGUGUGUGGUGUGUGUGUGUGUGUGUGUGUGUGUGUGUGUGCGUGUGUGUCUUUGAGUGUGUGUGUGUGUGUGUGUGUGUGUGUCUGUGUGUGUGUGUGUGUGUGUGUGUGUGUGUGUGUGUGUGUGUGUGUGUGCGUGUGUGUCGUCUGUUAGUACGGUCAGUGGUGGUAAUUAUGGAGUUAGUGUCUUAAAGAGUGUGUGUAUUAAAGAGAGAAUAUUCAGCGGUGAUAAAUGACUUUAAUAACCGCAGCGUGUUGGCUAACAGAGACAGAUCCUCUGCCUGAUAACACUGCCCACAAUCCUCUGCGGCACCACCUUUAUCAUUCCCCCACUCUGUCAAGCUCCCCCUCCCUCCCCCUUUCUCCUUGCCUCAGAGUGUAGUCCCUUCCUGUCUCCCCCCUGAAAACAAUGAGAAUGGACAAAAAAAAGCAUAUGAUGUUACAGUAUAAGAUAUUUUUACAAAUUUGAGUUUGUGUUUGUGCUUUUGUGUGU